UUUAUUUCUUCUUCAGUUGUCUCUGCCAUCUUUGACCUGACCAUUAGUGCUGUCCUGACUAGCUCACUGUGAGCAGAAAAAAAUUAUCAAACCGUCAACCAGAAGUAAACACAUCACUUUGGACAACUCAAAGACACAGUCUACUUGCUGUUUAACCCAGUCUUUGGUCGGAGGUGAAGAAGAGAUGACAUCCUCCACACCAUCCCCCUGCUGCUCUCAACAACCAUCAUCGCUGUGCUGGACAGACUGCAGCACUCACCGGGACCCUUCUCUCAUGGACUACACAAACAUGUGUUUUACCUGCUCGUGCUCCAGAUGUCCUGAAGCAGCUCUCAAUGACCACCAGACACCAGACUGAAGCAGAACUGAUGCUGUAGUACCUGUCACUCACUGGGCUCGUUCCUGCUAAACCUCCAAGAGAUAAACCCCUCUUCAAGAAAGUCUGAGGUAAUGUCUCAGUGAACUUGUGCUCAUUUAUUUUUUCUUAGUUAUCUUAGCUGCUGUAUUAAUGCUUGUGACGUCUUUAACAGCAGUGUUUUCCCCCAGGUCUUCUUCAAGCCAGUUAAGAGAGGAAGAACAGCUUAGACACUCAGGCAGCUGAACGCACCAAAGGUAGACAUCAUGCAGCCACCCUGAGCCUUGAGCCUCUCUGUGUUCUUUGCUGCUGCAGACUUGGUGAAGUUGCUCUGGACAGAAAUAUUUUUUGCUCUGCUGCAGUGCUGAAGGUAUUCAUUGUAAUGAUGUGUGUAUUUAUUCAACGUGUUUAGUUUCACAGAUUGUCAACACAAAUGUUUCUGUUUAUUUCCUGUUUUGAACCAGCUACAUUCUCCUGCUUCAAGUCACUGUCUGUUCAUCCACGGUGUAGCUAGUGCAGCUCAGCAGAGUCCUACUAAUGGUGAUCCUUCAAGUCCUGCAGCCCUAUGAAGCAAGCUGCAGCAGAUGUCAUCA